ACGGAGGGUGCAAGCGUUAUCCGGAUUCACUGGGUUUAAAGGGAGCGUAGAAGGGCAGGUAAGUCAGUGGUGAAAUCUCCGGGCUUAACCCGGAAACUGCCGCUGAUACUAUUUGUCUUGAAUAUUGUGGAGGUAAGCGGAAUAUGUCAUGUAGCGGUGAAAUGCUUAGAUAUGACAUAGAACACCCAUUGCGAAGGCAGCUUACUACACGAUCAUUGACGCUGAGGCACGAAAGCGUGGGGAGCAAACAGGA
rnacentral:rRNA from 1 species